UGAACAGGAUAGGCCGUCUUUAUUUAGUUCAAUAGAUCAAAAACACAAAAUCGCUCCAUUAGGAGGAAAAACACAAAAACUACAAAGAGGCUUGAGGAACUGAAUCCAUAAACUGAAACUAGAAUCGUCCAGGCCAGGCCGAGGGCCACCGAGUCUAAGGCGACGGGCCCCGGUAGGUGAAUGGUCGGUACCCUCCAGCACCGGGGAAAGGGAGCCGCAGACUAUAAGACACAUGAGGGCAAUGGGAAACAGUUGGACACAAUCAGGGACCAGGGCAGACGAUUCGACUGGCGACACAUGAGGGGCAAGUGACCUGAAACGAGAGAGGGGUUAAUCUUUCAAAAUAAGACAGGAAAUGACAAGACAAGGCACGGAGACGAGAAAACCCCAACUAGAUCUCACCGCGGUGUGACAUUAGGGGGUAAAGGAUCAGUACUGAUAUUCCAGUUAUAUAAUAAGUACUUUUACUUAUACAAAUGAAUAUAGCCGAUAACACCUUAUUAUUCUUACCUGAAGCCUAAGAAACUGGGCCUCGCUGGGCAGUUUUUAAGAUGGACGUUUGUUAUUAUUGAGGUCGAGGCUGCGAUUCAUAAAGGCACAGUUAUAGAAUCCUCAUAUGAUUUCACAGGAACAUUCAAAUUCCAGUCUACACAAACACGUAUAUAAUCAGGAUACUGUUGCACUCACAGUGUGUGUUUCUUCAUUCUACCACUGGGAGGUGCUAAAGGUUUAAAGUCCAAGUCCAACACCCGGAAGCUGCAGAUCCUCCUUGCUGCUUUGUUUUAGGGCUGUGAAUACACAAUACACAUACAGACACACACACACACACACACCAAUCCCAAGUGUGUUUUUGUUGUGCUUUUGGUUUCAACCAGUCAACAAGUCUCUCCGCCGGCUUCAAUCAAACAAAAUAAUUGUGCUGUAAUAACUUAAAAUGAUCAUAAACCCUUUGAAAUGAUUUUAAAAUGACGAUGCUUUCACUCCAAAGGCCAGAGGAACGAUCCUUCUGUAUCAGCUUUCAUGAAAACACUGUUUUAUGCAGCAUUGAAAGGUGAAGACAACGAGGAGGUCACUUAAACAGUCUCUCUACCUGCCAGCAGGUGGGGACUCCUCUGCAAAAAUAAGAUGACCAAACUUAACAAAUCUAGUUUAAAGUCUUCUUCAAUACAGCUUAAUGUUCAUUUGGUUAAUUAUGCUCUCAAAAUAGUCCAAAAAAAAUCUGGGUGUGUUUUGGGGCGGGGCUAACCUGUGACUGACAGGUUGCUACAAGAGCCAUACACGUCUCAACGUCACUUCAAAUAUGAUUUAUUCUGUUGUUCACUGAUGUUAAGGUAUCAAAAUCAACCUGCUAGCAAGUCUAAAGCUGACUAAUAAACAAUAAUUCAUAUAUGUUUGAUCCAUGCGUGGUUCACAUACACUCUUUUUUAAAGUAUUGCACGUAAUGUAAAUAGCUAUUCAAAUGUGAAUAAAGUUUCUUUAAGCGUCCAUUUCUUUCGACGGGCCUCCUGUCGGUCUCUCUGCUCAUCUAAAUCCCCCUUUGUUCACGUCCGCGGACCCACAAACGUACGACUCUCACCUCUACACACAUUUCACCGCAGCGACUGUUUCAGGUGACUGACACCUGGGAGCGCUCCAAAGCAAAGACUGCGAUUGCGAAAGCGGCGGUGAAGUCGCUAUCGCCUGUGUUAAAACACUUGGCAGUGUUUUAGUGUCCUCUGUCCGUCCGUCAAAGGCUCUGAGUUCAACUCCGGCGCUGAAAGACAAACAAGACGGCAAUUCUGAAUCUGUGGCAGCGUUUGAGAGGCCGAGGAGGCAAACGUGUGGCGGUCUGUGUACGGCAACACACAGCAGAGGUUAGCCUCCCUAAUGAAGAGGACACUGUGAUCAAAUACCAUUUUAAUUGAUGAAAAGAAGGAAGAAGCAGUGAUGUCAGGAGCUUGUCCGAUGACCAUUCGUCCUCAUUCAGGAACCGUAAAUAUCCGAAAGAUGACAAGAGGCCGCCGUCUGGUCAGGGGUUAUCGCUGACUUGACGUGAAGUUUGAUCUAUUUACUUUUUAAAAUUCCUUUAUUUCAGAAAACAUCUCCACGCUCGGUUUACGUUUGUCUCUUCUUCAGGGAAGCAGCACAAAUACAGUUACAAUGCGCACAACAAAUAUGACUGAGUGUGAAAAAGGAGCGUGAGUCUGCGGCCUGAUUAGUGUGAUGCAACACGCCGGGCCGCGCGCGUCCAACGAAUGGAACAGCGGGUUCACGACGAGCCGAGAAAAUCCUCCAAUUGCACAAAACCGGAGGGCAACCGCCCAAGUACACACACGCACGCAGCUGCCAAGAAGCGCACAGGUAUUUGAUCAGGUCAUGUUGACAGAUUGACCCUUUAAUGACAAACAGACGGACAUCUCCUCCCGGCGCCUCGGGAGGUCGGCAGAGCGCAGGGCCCCGACUUCCUCCUGCGGGCCGUUAAUAAAGAGCACAGCUCGGGUCAAAAGGAAUAAACGAGCUGCGGGAGACGCACACACACACACACACACACACACACACACACACCUUGCGUCACCGGGUUUGUCAUUCCUGUUUUUGUUUUUCGUACCAUAGAUGGAAGGCACGGACGUAAUGUUUUUAUGACCCCGUGACCCUUUGAGCCUAAAGCCCGAUAAGGCCUGGACAUGUUUUACUCAGGUUCCUUUGAGCAACUGAUUCACUGUAAAGAAAGACAACGGGUACGUUACGUAUUGUAUUGAUCUGCUGAUCAACGGUUUAAUAAACACAUCUCCAAAAGUUAAAACAAAGGUACUCAUUUAUUUAAGAUUAAAGGGGUAAUAGAAGAUUUAACAUUUUUGUUUCAUUCAAAUAUGUUUUUAAUUUGUCAUUACGGGGACUAUUUGCAUUAUUUAAUAACAGAAAAGUUGGUGUUUCAAUUCAACCAAUAAAGUCUAUAAAAUGUUAUUGUGAUUACCUUCUGAAGCCUCUUUAUAUGAAUGUCUCUUCCCCUUUGUUAGUUAAUAAUAUAUUAAUCAUCAUUUAACACAGGAAUACAGGAGUGAAGCGGUAUCGUGCGUUAUUUCAGGGUAUUCAACUCUCAACUCACAGAAAUCUCUUGAGGAAAAAAAACACUCGUAAGUUCAUUUGUGACCUUGAAAACAGAAAUCAUUACUCUUACUUUCUCAUCUCAUAUUUGUUCUGUUGCUUUUGUGAAACUCGCCUUGUUUCCGGAGCCUUUGCCCACUUCCCACUUCGUCUUCAUCGGCAUUCGCAGUUUGUUAAGUUGCGGCGGACCUUUCGAUGUUUUGACUUUUUCAAAAACAUGGAUGGGACGAGGUCGUCAACAGAUUCACGUCAACUGAGUGACCUCACUCUGCUGAUGAAG
ensembl:lncRNA